rnacentral:rRNA from 1 species
CUAAAAACCAAUCUCAGUUCGGAUUGUAGGCUGCAACUCGCCUACAUGAAGUCGGAGUUGCUAGUAAUCGCGAAUCAGAAUGUCGCGGUGAAUGCGUUCCCGGGUCUUGUACACACCGCCCGUCACACCAUGGGAGUUGGCAAUACCCGAAGCCGCCGAUCUAACCGCAAGGAGGAAGGCGUCGAAGGUAGGGUUAAUGACUGGGGUGAAGUCGUAACAA